AGAGUUUGAUCAUGGCUCAGAAUCAACGCUGGCGGCGUGCCUCAGACAUGCAAGUCGAACGCGAAAGACGCCUUCGGGUGUUGAGUAGAGUGGCGCACGGGUGAGUAACACGUAGGUAAUCUACCUUCGGGUGGGGAAUAACCCAGGGAAACUUGGGCUAACACCGCAUAAUGCAGCGGCACCACAUGGUGACAGUUGUUAAAGCGGGGGAUUUUAGGACCUCGCGCCUGAAGAGGAGCCUGCGGCGGAUUAGCUAGUUGGUAGGGUAACGGCUUACCAAGGCGACGAUCCGUAACCGGCCUGAGAGGGCGGUCGGUCACACUGACACUGACAUACGGGUCAGACUCCUACGGGAGGCAGCAGUCGGGAAUUUUGGGCAAUGGGCGAAAGCCUGACCCAGCAACGCCGCGUGAAGGAUGAAAUCCCUCGGGAUGUAAACUUCGCAAGAAUGGGAAGAAUUAGUAGGGGACAAUACCCCCUAUGAUGACGGUACCAUUUGUAAGCUCCGGCUAACUCCGUGCCAGCAGCCGCGGUAAUACGGGGGGAGCAAGCGUUGUUCGGAUUACUGGGCGUAAAAGGGCGAGGCGGCCAGCGCAAGUCGGUGAAAUCUCCGGGCUUAACUCGGAAAGGUCAACCGAUACUGCGCGGCUAGAGUGCAGAAGGGGCAACUGGAAUUCUCGGUGUAGCGGUGAAAUGCGUAGAUAUCGAGAGGAACACCUGCGGCGAAGGCGGGUUGCUGGGCUGACACUGACGCUGAUGCGCGAAAGCCAGGGGAGCGAACGGGAUUAGAUACCCUAGUAGUCC
rnacentral:rRNA from 1 species